rnacentral:rRNA from 1 species
CUGCUGCCUCCCGUAGGAGUUUGGUCCGUGUCUCAGUACCAAUGUGGGGGGUUAACCUCUCAGUCCCCCUAUGUAUCGUUGUCUUGGUGAGCCGUUACCCCACCAACUAACUAAUACAACGCAUGCCCAUCCAUUACCACCGGAGUUUUCAACCCAAGAAGAUGCCUCCCUGGAUGUUAUGGGGUAUUAGUACCGAUUUCUCAGUGUUAUCCCCCUGUAAUGGGUAGGUUGCAUACGCGUUACGCACCCGUGCGCCGGUCGCCGACGUAGA